GAAUCCGUACGAUGGGGCGGCGCACCGGGCGGUUGUUCAACUAGUGUUCCACGAGCCAGCAGUCAACAUCCAGCAUCCACCCGUUCUCGAAGCAACGCAUGCUCAAACCCGAUCGAAUUAGGAUUUGAAUAAAACUCCCCCGGUACUCUAUUUGCACGACGACCGUCUUCAGAGGCGAGUUUCUUCCCCAAGACGUUCGACAAUGCCUCCGUCACGUGACAGCUGGACUCGAGACUCCUCAACCGUCAGAAUUUUAGAAAAGACCAAAAAAAUGUAAUAAACAAUAGCUCAGAGGACUACAUAGAGAUCAGAAGCGAUUUACUUUCUUCUCCACCAGCUUUUCACCAGAAUGGAGGACGAGAUAAGCUUUGCCUUGAUCGGUAUCCUGGGCGUCGGGACUGUCGCGAUGAUCGGCUUGGUCAGCUGCUACAUCUGCGUCCUCCGGGAUCUCUGCUGUCAGCCCGUCAACAAAAGAAGCCGGUUCAACAGCAUGCCAGGUCAGGAAGAUCUGCAAAUGGGCGACACGACGCAAAACGUCGAAAUAAGCCUGGCAACAGACACGGAACAGUCGAAGAAUUGAACCGAUUGAUUUUCUAAAUAUCGAUUGUCUGUGUGUACAAAUUUAAUUUAUACAAUAAACGAAUUUACAUUCUUUA